rnacentral:rRNA from 1 species
CACAAGCGGCGGAGCAUGCGGAUUAAUUCGAUGCAACGCGAAGAACCUUACCAAGGCUUGACAUACACCGGUAACGCCCAGAGAUGGGUGCCCCUUUGUGGUCGGUGGACAGGUGGUGCAUGGUUGUCGUCAGCUCGUGUCGUGAGAUGUUGGGUUAAGUCCCGCAACGAGCGCAACCCUCGUCCUAUGUUGCCAGCGGGUCAUGCCGGGGACUCAUGGGAGACUGCCGGGGUCAACUCGGAGGAAGGUGGGGAUGACGUCAAAUCAUCAUGCCCCUUAUGUCUUGGGCUUCACGCAUGCUACAAUGGCCGGUACAAAGGGCUGCGAUACCGCGAGGUGGAGCGAAUCCCAGAAAGCCGGUCUCAGUUCGGAUUGGAGUCUGCAACUCGACUCCAUGAAGUUGGAAUCGCUAGUAAUCGCGGAUCAGCACGCCGCGGUGAAUACGUUCCCGGGCCUU